rnacentral:miRNA from 1 species
UCCGUGGCCCCUGAUGCGGAGCUGAUGAGCGGCCACAGCCCGCACCA